AACGUAGGAGACGAACGUUAUCCGGAGUUACUGGGCGUAAAGGGCGUGUAGGCGGUUUGUUAAGUCUGGCGUGAAAGCUCUCGGCUAAACCGGGAGAGGUCGUUGGAUACUGGCGAACUAGAGGAUGGUAGAGGCGUGUGGAAUUCCGGGUGUAGUGGUGAAAUGCGUAGAUAUCGGGAGGAACACCAGUGGCGAAGGCGACUACCUGGCCUGUUCUUGACGCUGAGGCGCGAAAGCUAGGGGAGCAAACGGG
rnacentral:rRNA from 1 species